UAUGAGAUGACAUGCUUCUUUAUAUCCCCAUAUGGAUUAGGCUGUUAUGGAAUGUAAGGAAGUGUGUGGUUUCGGG
rfam:Cathartes aura contig4892, whole genome shotgun sequence.